CUUCUCAGUCAUAAGAGAAUUCACAUAGGUGAGAAACCUUAUAAAUGUAACACAUGUAGAAAAUCUUUCAUUUGGAAGACACAACUCAAUUUGCAUCAGAGAACCCACAUAGGUGAGAAAUGUUAUGUAACUGAUGUGCACUGUCUUUCAAGCAGAAGUCAUACCUCAGUUUGCAUCAGAGAAGACACACACAGGAGAUAAACCUUAUGAAUGCAGCAGAUAUGGAAAUUGUUUCAGGCAGAAGUCAACCCUCAAUAUGCAUCAGAGAACAUACACAGGAGAGAGACCACAUGAAUGUAGAAAAUGUGGAAAAUCUUUCACCCGGAAGGCACACCUCAGUGUUCAGAGCAUACACAGGAGAGAAUUCUAAUGAGUGUAGCAAGUAUGUGAAGCCCUCCAACCAAUAGUAACAUCUCACUAUGCAUCAGAGAACUGGAAAACUAUCAGAGAAAACUAAUGAAUGUAACUAUCAUGUUUUAAUAAGUCACUCUUCAGUGUGCAUCAUACAACAUACAGAGGAGAAGAACUUUAUGAGUAUAAUAAAUGUUAGAAAACACUUCUCAACAGGUAUCAGAGACCUGAACACGUGACAUAAUCUCUAAAUUUAAAGAAUAGAGGAAGUUUAUCAAGCUGUCAACUUUCAGCAAGCAUUAGAACAUUCAAACGUGAAAGAAACCCAAUGUAAGAAAAUCCUCUGUCAGAAAUUAAUUACACAGAAAGUAAAUUAUACAGAGAAAUCCUACAUGACAGAGGUAACCUAGGUGUCCUUUACACCUGGCCACUCACUGAGCCAACAUUUCUUGCCCUGUCAUUGUGUUGAAUGGGGAUGUUAUACCUGAAUAUUAUCCAAAGGAUUUGGACAAAAGUGGUGGGCAUUACUUCCAGGCUUGACAAAUGGAAAGUGAAGUUGUUGGUUUGUAUCUUUUAUAAUAAAGAAUGGCUUGCCAAA